UAGGGAAUCUUCGGCAAUGGACGAAAGUCUGACCGAGCAACGCCGCGUGAGUGAAGAAGGUUUUCGGAUCGUAAAACUCUGUUGUUAGAGAAGAACAAGGACGUUAGUAACUGAACGUCCCCUGACGGUAUCUAACCAGAAAGCCACGGCUAACUACGUGCCAGCAGCCGCGGUAAUACGUAGGUGGCAAGCGUUGUCCGGAUUUAUUGGGCGUAAAGCGAGCGCAGGCGGUUUCUUAAGUCUGAUGUGAAAGCCCCCGGCUCAACCGGGGAGGGUCAUUGGAAACUGGGAGACUUGAGUGCAGAAGAGGAGAGUGGAAUUCCAUGUGUAGCGGUGAAAUGCGUAGAUAUAUGGAGGAACACCAGUGGCGAAGGCGGCUCUCUGGUCUGUAACUGACGCUGAGGCUCGAAAGCGUGGGGAGCUAACAGG
rnacentral:rRNA from 1 species